rnacentral:rRNA from 1 species
UACGUAGGUGACGAGCGUUAUCCGGAAUUAUUGGGCGUAAAGCGUACGCAGGUGGUUAAUAAAGUCUGGCGUGAAAUCUCUCGGCUUAACCGGGAGCGGUCGUUGGAAACUAAUUGACUUGAGGCGAUGAGAGGAGUGCGGAAUUCCCGGUGUAGUGGUGGAAUGCGUAGAUAUCGGGAGGAACAUCAGUGGCGAAAGCGGCACUCUGGCAUUAGCCUGACGCUCAUGUACGAAAGCGUGGGGAGCGAACGGG